CCUGACGAAAAAGGAAAGAAGGCAUUGGUUUUGCUGUAAAGUACACACAACUUUUACAAAUAUUAUUUUGGUGAUUACUUUGGUCAAGAUGAACAAAAUAAUUUUUGGAAUUGUGGCAGUGUUGCAUCUUUAAUGCUGGCUGAGUCCCUGACAUGUAACAGAUGCAGUUUGAGCCUGUUGGGUCUUUGCGUGAAUCCCAGUACUACUGUCUGCACUACCUAAACUAGUGCUUGCUUCACUGGAAUAGACAUAUCCUCAGGUAUGAUUUCCCAGGGUUGUAUGGAGAGCGAUCUGUGCACAAACCCCACCAACAUCCUUGAUAUCUGCUGCCACACCGACUUUUGUAAUUCAGUCACAUUCAGUGGUGCAAACUCUGCCAAGCUCACCGACACCACAGUUCUCGGUGCCGCCCUUGUGGCCUCCAUGUGUGGCUGCUUAUUAUCGUAGACCUAAAGAAACUAGAAGAACUAGAAGCAACUUCCUGUUACUGUAAAAUUAGAAGACUGUCUUAGUUUUGAUCUCGUUGCGCCUUGACUGUUUUUUUCAUGUGCCUCUGCUAUGUUGUCACCUCUUGCUCUCACGUUGUUUGUGUCCCAUUUGAUUCCACAGUCAAGGGCUUUCUAACAAUUUUGCAAAGACGCAUACGUUUCAGAAUCCAAUAUUCAGUGUUUUUUAUUUCUGUUUAAAAUGUUUGAAUAUGCUCAUUGUUGGGAAAUAGAUCAGUGUAUAUUGGAAGCUGUAACUCAAAAUUCUU